AUGGGCAAGCUCCUGCUCCUGGUUCGAGAGGGGGCGCGGGAAAUCGGGGCGCCGUGGUGCUCUGUGGCUGGACGUGGGAGGAGGCCAGAGGUCCUGCAGGAGAUCCUCUCCAGCGACAAGGUGGGGCUCGGUGAGGAGCACGGCAUGGAGGGGUCCCUCUUCUGUUGGGCUCGGAGAGCAGGACGAAGCAGAGCAGGAGGGGGUUCGAGUGGAGCUCGGGGAUGA
rnacentral:rRNA from 1 species